rnacentral:rRNA from 1 species
UACGUAGGGGCCUAGCGUUGUCCGGAUUUAUUGGGCGUAAAGAGCUCGUAGGCGGUUCAGUAAGUCAGGUGUGAAAUCUCCACGCUCAACGUGGAGGCGCCACCUGAAACUGCCGUGACUCGAGUCCGGUAGGGGAGUGUGGAAUUCCCGGUGUAGCGGUGAAAUGCGCAGAGAUCGGGAGGAACACCAAUGGCGAAAGCAGGUACCUGGACUAGUACUGACACUCAGCUGCGAAAGCUAGGGGAGCGAACAGG